AUUGAACGCUGGCGGCAGGCUUAACACAUGCAAGUCGAGCGGAGUGAUGGUGCUUGCACUAUCACUUAGCGGCGGACGGGUGAGUAAUGCUUAGGAAUCUGCCUAUUAGUGGGGGACAACAUCUCGAAAGGGAUGCUAAUACCGCAUACGUCCUACGGGAGAAAGCAGGGGAUCACUUGUGACCUUGCGCUAAUAGAUGAGCCUAAGUCGGAUUAGCUAGUUGGUGGGGUAAAGGCCUACCAAGGCGACGAUCUGUAGCGGGUCUGAGAGGAUGAUCCGCCAAACUGGGACUGGGACACGGCCCAGACUCCUACGGGAGGCAGCAGUGUGGAAUAUUGGACAAUGGGGGGAACCCUGAUCCAGCCAUGCCGCGUGUGUGAAGAAGGCCUUAUGGUUGUAAAGCACUUUAAGCGAGGAGGAGGCUCUUUUGGUUAAUACCCAAGAUGAGUGGACGUUACUCGCAGAAUAAGCACCGGCUAACUCUGUGCCAGCCGCCGCGGUAA
rnacentral:rRNA from 1 species